rnacentral:rRNA from 1 species
GACAGAGGCCUCGAGCGUUAGGCGGAAUCAUUGGGCGUAAAGCGCGUGUAGGCGGCCCGGUAAGUCCGCUGUGAAAGUCGGGGGCUCAACCCUCGGAUGCCGGUGGAUACUGUCGGGCUAGAGUGCGGAAGAGGCGAGUGGAAUUCCUGGUGUAGCGGUGAAAUGCGCAGAUAUCAGGAGGAACACCAAUUGCGAAGGCAGCUCGCUGGGACGUGACUGACGCUGAGACGCGAAAGCGUGGGGAGCAAACAGG